GACGAACGCUGGCGGCGUGCUUAACACAUGCAAGUCGAACGGAAAGGCCCUGCUUUUGUGGGGUGCUCGAGUGGCGAACGGGUGAGUAACACGUGAGUAACCUGCCCUUGACUUUGGGAUAACUUCAGGGAGCUGGGGCUAAUACCGGAUAGGAGCUCCUGCUGCAUGGUGGGGGUUGGAAAGUUUCGGCGGUUGGGGAUGGACUCGCGGCUUAUCAGCUUGUUGGUGGGGUAGUGGCUUACCAAGGCUUUGACGGGUAGCCGGCCUGAGAGGGUGACCGGCCACAUUGGGACUGAGAUACGGCCCAGACUCCUACGGGAGGCAGCAGUGGGGAAUAUUGCACAAUGGGCGGAAGCCUGAUGCAGCAACGCCGCGUGCGGGAUGACGGCCUUCGGGUUGUAAACCGCUUUCGCCUGUGACGAAGCGUGAGUGACGGUAAUGGGUAAAGAAGCACCGGCUAACUACGUG
rnacentral:rRNA from 1 species